rnacentral:rRNA from 1 species
UGCGCGUAAAUGCCCGAAUCCUGACACAGGGAGGUAGUGACAAGAAAUAACAAUACAGGGCUACUUCUAGUCUUGUAAUUGGAAUGAGUACAACUUACAUCUCUUCACGAGGAUCAAUUGGAGGGCAAGUCUGGUGCCAGCAGCCGCGGUAAUUCCAGCUCCAAUAGCGUAUAUUAAAGUUGUUGCAGUUAAAAAGCUCGUAGUCGGAUUUCGGGUCGGGCCGAGCGGUCUGCCGAUGGGUAUGCACUGUUCGGCGCGGCCUUCUUUCCGGAGACCGCGGCUACUCUUAACUGAGCGGGCGUGGGAGACGGAUCGUUUACUUUGAAAAAAUCAGAGUGUUUCAAGCAGGCAGCUCGCUCUUGCAUGGAUUAGCAUGGGAUAAUGAAAUAGGACUCUGGUGCUAUUUUGUUGGUUUCGAACACCGGAGUAAUGAUUAACAGGGACAGUCA